GGUGUAGUUAAAAUUAGGUAUUAUAUAGUGUAGUGUUUGUAUGGGCAUGGCAGGCGAUAUUUUGCCCAGCCAGCCCAAUGUGCGGCAGUACCUGUCCCAUAUGGUCAGAGUGAGGGCUGUGGUUGGGAGCAAUUUUGCCUUAGUAGGCCUGCUGUGCUGGGGAAGCCAUGCCAGUACAUUGAUGGGAAUGUUAUUAGCAUGCUGCGCCUCCAGUUCCAUCCAUUGGGUUGGGUGGUCUCGAUGGCAAGCCGCUAGUAGGGGGCCCAGAAUGGCUGCUCUGUAGUAACUGUCUAGGUUGGGCACUCCCAUUCCCCCAUUUUUGCGUGGCAUGUAUAGCGUGCUUUUCGCUACCCGUGCUUUUUGUCUGUCCCAUAUAAAGGUUAGUAGUGUUUGUUGAGCAUCUCGUAUGAAUGUGGGGGGUAUCUU